rnacentral:ncRNA from 1 species
UUGAAGUUUAAUUCUGGUUUAAGAAUAUUUAAAUUAAAAAUUAUAUUACAUGCAAUUUUUUGAUUGUUUUAAAUUUCUAAAUGGAAAUAUUUUAAUAAAUGCGCAGUAUUUAUUAUUAUUAAUUAAUAAAAUUAGAAUUAGUAAUUUUAUUUAAAAGAAUCUAAUUUCGUGCCAGCAGUUGCGGUUAUACGAUUUCUUUAAUUUAAAUAGUUAAGUUUCAGUUAGUAUAACAAUAAUAUAAUAUAUAUAUAAUUUUGGUGAAAUAUAUUUUAUCUUUAAAAAUUAAUUUUAUGCCUGAAAAAUUUUUGUUUAAACUAGGAUUAGAUACCCUAUUAUUAAAAAUGUGAUAAAAAUAACUUGAUUAUUAUUAGAAAUGAUCUUUAAAUUCAAAGAAUUUGGCGGUAAUUUAUCUUAUCAGAGGAACCUGUUUUAUAAUUGAUAAUCCACGAUAGAUAGAACUUUAAUUUAAUUUGUAUAUCUCUGUCAAGAAUGUUUUAUAAGAAAUAUUUUCAUAAUAUAUUAUUUGUAUUCAAUGUCAGGUCAAGGUGCAGUUUAUAUUAAAGAAAAAAUGGGUUACAAUUAAUUAUGUAUUGAAUUAUUUUUUAAAUUAAAAAAUGUGAAAUUGGAUUUGAUAAUAAAUUAAUUAAAUUUAAUUAGUUGAAAUUGGCUCUAAUUUAUGUACAUAUCGCCCGUCACUCUCAUAAUAUUAAUGGGAUAAGUCGUAACAAAGUAACUGUACCGGAAGGUGUAGUUAGAAAGA